rnacentral:rRNA from 1 species
UUUAUGGAGAGUUUGAUCCUGGCUCAGGAUGAACGCUGGCGGCGUGCCUAAUACAUGCAAGUCGAGCGAACGGACGAGAAGCUUGCUUCUCUGAUGUUAGCGGCGGACGGGUGAGUAACACGUGGAUAACCUACCUAUAAGACUGGGAUAACUUCGGGAAACCGGAGCUAAUACCGGAUAAUAUUUUGAACCGCAUGGUUCAAAAGUGAAAGACGGUCUUGCUGUCACUUAUAGAUGGAUCCGCGCUGCAUUAGCUAGUUGGUAAGGUAACGGCUUACCAAGGCAACGAUGCAUAGCCGACCUGAGAGGGUGAUUGGCCACACUGGAACUGAGACACGGUCCAGACUCCUACGGGAGGCAGCAGUAGGGAAUCUUCCGCAAUGGGCGAAAGCCUGACGGAGCAACGCCGCGUGAGUGAUGAAGGUCUUCGGAUCGUAAAACUCUGUUAUUAGGGAAGAACAUAUGUGUAAGUAACUGUGCACAUCUUGACGGUACCUAAUCAGAAAGCCACGGCUAACUACGUGCCAGCAGCCGCGGUAAUACGUAGGUGGCAAGCGUUAUCCGGAAUUAUUGGGCGUAAAGCGCGCGUAGGCGGUUUUUUAAGU